AGGAAUCAUGAAGGGUACGACUGUUCGUCGGUUAAAGAGCUACACGAGCUGGGUUAAAUACGUCGUGAGACAGUAUGGUUUCUAUCUUCUAGAAGUAAUUAGAGUAAAACAAGGAUAGCCCCUUCGUACGAAAGGAGUUGGGUAUGGUAACCUCUGGUUUAUUUGUUGUUUAAUUUGAUACCUAUCGAAAGGAGUCGCUAACCGUUCCCGACAUUUUUUCGCUCUCGAUAUUUUUUUUUUUAAUAAAAUAUAUUUAUAUGGGGACCCCCAAAGAUAAGAAUAUUACAGCGUUAUUAAACAUUGACGGGGAUUGCAGAGGGCGUAGGAUGUACCAUUACUAAGGUAUAUGACCAAUAGGCACAGCAAUAAAGCUACGUUAGUCAUAAAUAAGCGCUGAAUGCAUAUAGGCACGAAGUUUGUCUUGAGAUACUCUUAAAUAUACGUAAUACAAUAUUACGAAUCGUAAACUUGCGAUUGUAUAGGUUUUGGUUUAAAGGAUUUUAAUUUCUUCAGAUACAAUAUACUAAUUUUAUUAAAUACUAAAUUUU
rnacentral:ncRNA from 1 species